UCCUUGGGAGCCCUGUUAGACUCUGGAUUUUACACUUGGAGUGAACGGGCGCCAUCCCGAGGCUU
rnacentral:pre_miRNA from 1 species